AGAGUUUGAUCAUGGCUCAGGAUGAACGCUGGCGACGUGGAUAAGGCAUGCAAGUUGAACGGUUCGAUUCUCGGGAAGCUUUUGAGUGAGUAGCAAUACAAGCGAUGAAGUGGAACAAGAAUUGGAUAGUGGCAAACGAGGUAGUAUAAAUUAGGAACGUACCCCAAAGUCGUGAAUAGCCUGCCGAAAGGCAGAGUAAUACGCGAUACCCCGCAAGGGAAAAGAUUUAUCGCUCUGGGAGCGGCCUAAUCAGUAUCAGCUAGUUGGUAAGGUAAUGGCUUACCAAGGCUAUGACGCUUAGGAGAGGUGAGAGCCUGACCUCCACCGAUGGGACUGAGAUACGGCCCAUACACCUACGGGUGGCUGCAGUCGAGAAUCUUCCGCAAUGGACGAAAGUCUGACGGAGCGACGUCGCGUGGUUGAUGAAGAGCUUCGGUUUGUAAAAACCUUUUAUGAGGGAAGAAGUUUAUUGACGGUACCUCAUGAAUAAGGACCUGCAAAACUCGUGCCAGCAGCAGCGGUAAUACGAGUGGUCCAAGCGUUAUCCGGAAUUAUUGGGCGUAAAGGGUGUGUAGGUGGUUUCAUUAGUCUUUUGUCUAACUCCCGAGCUUAACUUGGGAAAGGCAAAGGAAACGGUGAAGCUAGAGGUUGUGAGGGGUGUGCGGAACUCAUGGUGUAGGGGUGAAAUCCGUUGAUAUCAUGGGGAACACCAAAAGCGAAGGCAGCACACUGGCACAUACCUGACACUGAGACACGAAAGCGUGGGUCGCGAAUGGGAUUAGAUACCCCAGUAGUCCACGCCCUAAACGUUGUUCUCUCGCUAUUGUGAGCAUCGACCCUCACAGUGGCUUAGCUAACGCGGUAAGAGAACCGCCUGGGAAGUACGAUCGCAAGAUUAAAACUCAAAGGAAUAGACGGGGACCUGCACAAGCAGUGGAUUAUGUGGUUUAAUUCGAUGGUAAACGAAGAACCUCACCAGGAUUUGAAACCUACGUGAAAGCCUUAGGAAACUUUGGCCCUCGCAAGACACGUGGACAGGUGAUGCAUGGCCGUCGUCAGUUCGUGGUUUGAACUGUUCCCUUCAGUGGGGUAACGAACGCAACCCUUAUCGCGUGUUACAAGUGUCACGUGAGACUGCCCCGUAAUUUGUUCAGAAGAACAUUGUGUAUUUUGUAGAAAGUUUUAACAGUAGGUGUAGCUUAAAUGCCCCCACAGCCCUUGUGUUGUGAAAAAAGCGACGAAGCUCUGCUUUGGUAAUGCUGGGAUGACAUCCAGUCACCUACCGUUAAAAACUUUCUCGCAACUUCGGUUGCGCUUUCUACAAAAUACAUAAUGAACUUCUUGUGAAUAAAUUACGGGGAGGAAGGAGAGGAUGACGCCAGGUCAGCAUGUCCCUUUGACAUCCUGGGCUACACACAUAAUACAAUCGGGAAGACAACGGGUCGCGACGAGGUAACUCUGAGCCAAUCCUUCAAACUUCCCGCCAGUUCAGAUUGAGGUCUGCAACUCGACCUCAUGAAGCCGGAAUUGCUAGUAAUCGCGGGUCAGCUAAACCGCGGUGAAUACGUUCUCAGGUCUUGUACACACCGCCCGUC
rnacentral:rRNA from 1 species